rnacentral:rRNA from 1 species
GCAAGUCGAGCGGUAACAGGGGAGCUUGCUCCUGCUGACGAGCGGCGGACGGGUGAGUAACGCGUAGGAAUCUGCCUAGUAGAGGGGGACAACAUGUGGAAACGCAUGCUAAUACCGCAUACGCCCUGAGGGGGAAAGGAGGGGAAACUGCGGAGCCUUCCGCUAUUGGAUGAGCCUGCGUGAGAUUAGCUAGUUGGUAGGGUAAAGGCCUACCAAGGCGACGAUCUCUAACUGGUCUGAGAGGAUGACC